CCUACGGGUGGCAGCAGUGGGGAAUAUUGGACAAUGGGGGGAACCCUGAACCAGCGACGCCGCGUGAGUGAAGAAGUCUUUCGGUAUGUAAAGCUCUAUCAGCAGGGAAGAAAAUGACGGUACCUGCCUAAGACUCCCCGGCUAACUACGUUACAGCCGCCGCGGUAAUACGUAGGGGGCAAGCGUUAUCCGGAUUUACUGGGUGUAAAGGGAGCGUAGACGGUGCAGCAAGUCUGAUGUGAAAGGUCGGGGCCCAACCCCGGGACUGAAUUGGCAACUGUUGAACUGAGUACAGGAGAGGUAGGCGGAAUUCGUAGUGUAGCGGUGAAAUGCGUAGAUAUCAGGAGGAACCCCAGUGGCGAAGGCGGCUUACUGGACUGCAACUGACGUUGAGGCUCGAAAGCGUGGGGAGCAAACAGGAUUAGAUACCCCAGUAGUC
rnacentral:rRNA from 1 species